CUGCCAACCUGGACUUCAUGAUAUUCAACCAUCGAGGCAAAGUCUUUCCCGUGGAAACGAAUGCAAAGUUGAUACAUUAAGAAGGACUUCUAUAAAUUUGGAUCAAGCGCCUUCAUUUCUUAUAUGAGGAGGAAAACUCUUUUCUCAAAAUUUGUACAAUUUAUUUGCGCAUUUGAUGUCACUGUCUUUGAUGUAUGAGUUUUUUGCAGCUUCAUACUUUACAUUUCUGUAGUUGGCACUUGUCUUUGUGAUUUUGACACGAUGUAACUACUAGAACCAUCUAUGAUGAGCUAGCUAGCCUCCAAUUUGACUAUACUUACAUGAAUUAUUUGCUGUAGCCUUGAGUUAACUUUAGGUCUAUUGAAUGUUAAUGUCCAGAAUGAAAGCAAAUGAUCUCAUUUUCCAGGUGAAAAAUUGCUUUUGCUUGGUUAGGUUGCAAAUAAUGUGUUCAAUAAUUAUAAGCAUGUGGCAGUGGCACAUGUUAUCCUUUGAGUGAUGCCUCUGGCAACAAAUAAUGUUAUCUGUAACUCAGUAACUC
rnacentral:lncRNA from 1 species